UAAUACUGGAUAUGAGCUCCUUCCGCAUGGUGGGGGUUGGAAAGAUUUUUCGGUCUGGGAUGGGCUCGCGGCCUAUCAGCUUGUUGGUGAGGUAAUGGCUCACCAAGGCGUCGACGGGUAGCCGGCCUGAGAGGGUGACCGGCCACACUGGGACUGAGACACGGCCCAGACUCCUACGGGAGGCAGCAGUGGGGAAUAUUGCACAAUGGGCGGAAGCCUGAUGCAGCAACGCCGCGUGAGGGAUGACGGCCUUCGGGUUGUAAACCUCUUUUAGCAGGGAAGAAGCGAAAGUGACGGUACCUGCAGAAAAAGCGCCGGCUAACUACGUGCCAGCAGCCGCGGUAAUACGUAGGGCGCAAGCGUUAUCCGG
rnacentral:rRNA from 1 species